AAGUCGUAACAAGGUUUCCGUAGGUGAACCUGCGGAAGGAUCAUUAUUGAAUUAGUGAGGGCUGUCUGCUGGCCCCUUCGGGGGCAUGUGCACGUCCGAGCCGUUUAAAUCAACACCUGUGAACUCACCGUAGGCCUCGGGCUU
rnacentral:misc_RNA from 1 species